UCCCUGGUGGCUCAGCGGUUAAAGCAUCUGCCUGGAAUGCUGGAAACCCGGGUUCGAUCCCUGGGUCGGGAA
rnacentral:tRNA from 1 species